GGAAGACUCAGCCUGAGUGCCAUGUAGAGCAGGAACCAGGAAGCUCCUCCCAUAAUGCACCAUGGGGAACAGAUCAUGCCACUCUGAACACAGAAGACAGACUCACCUCUGGCCUGCUAACCCCACCUGGGCUUCAGCCUUGUCCAUCCUUGAGAGCCUCAGAUCAGACUGCCUGACCCCACCCUCUAGGCUCCCACUCUGGUCUCCAGGGUCAGGCUGAGACCUGGUCAGGAAGGACUCUCACCUAUGCACUGCCUGUUCUUGAAGAAGGUCAGCGUCCCAUGCCAGGUGUCCAAGUGUACGCCAAUAAUGGAGCCCUGGCCGAAGCGUGACGAGAAGCUGGUCUUGUCCCCUUUGUGAUGGAGGAGUCCUGGAGCAGGAGAUGGUAUCACCAGUUCCUUGGGGAGGGCCCCAAAUCGCACACCAAGUCCCAAGAACCAUCAUGGUGGUUGUACAGUAUCAUGAGCAGGUGAGGAAGUGGCCAGCAACAGACCAACUCCAGGCCUGUGUGCUGGAAUAGGGGAGUAUAAUUCUACAAGGAGCCAGACACAAGAUGUUUUGUCAACCAAGGUUAACUUAGGCCCCUCAGAAGACAACCUGAACAGCUAUCCUGCCUGAAGGCAAGCCUUAUGCCCCAGAUAGAGCAGACCUUGUAUCCACUGGCAAAGAUGGCAUCCUCUAAAGCCAAGGCAAAUCCACUGAAUCAGGAGUCAGGGUUUAAGGUCAAUCUACCUAGGCCAGGAGGGAGGGACCAGGGACACCAGGAACUCACUGCCAUCUGACUACAUGGCACGGCAAACUCACCCCAUCACAGGCAUGAGUAUCACUGCUUCCACCCCUCAGUGAUGACUGUGAGGCAGGAACAGGCACACAGGCUGUUCCAGGGUACCCUGUCAUUGGGUGUAGCUGAAAAUCUGGGUUGACCCCUCAAGCUCAGAGGCCUCCAAGAACAGCAGGGACACUGCUGACCCAGUCAGUAAAUCCAUGGCUUCCAAGUUUCCUCACACCCUGGUGAUCCCAUGGGCUUAUAGAGGGGACUCUAUGUUGUAGGGAGCUAUGACAUCAGAGCAGAGGCAAUACAGGGCAGAGCCAGAAUACCAGUCCAGUAUAGCAAGACAAAUCAAGAGCCACCCUCAAGAUCCUAGUCAGGUGCCUUAAGCUGGUAUCUACCCUGUGUCCUACAUUCCUGGGCCUCCCUGUGCUCAGAAUCUACAGCAAAGCCGCUCUUAGAAAUUUGAACUUACAGAUUUAAAAAUUAAAAAAAAAUAAAAAGGUGUUUGUUGAUGACCUGAGUUUACCACAUAGAAGGAGAGAAGGAAGUCCUGCAAGUUGUCCUGACUGCCACAUGUUCGUCAUAGCACACAUGUGCCCACACACAGUAAAUAAACUGCCUCAAGUCCAAGGCCA